GAUGAACGCUGGCGGCGUGCCUAAUACAUGCAAGUCGAGCGAACAGACGAGGAGAUUGCUCCACUGACGUUAGCGGCGGACGGGUGAGUAACACGUGGAUAACCUACCUAUAAGACUUGGAUAACUUCGGGAAACCGGAGCUAAUACCGGAUAAUAUAUUGAACCGCAUGGUUCCAUAGUGACAGACGGUUUUGCUGUAACUAAUAGAUGGAUCCGCGUCGCAUUAGCUAGUUGGUAAGGUAACGGCUUACCAAGGCGACGAUGCGUAGCCCACCUGAGAGGGUCAUCCGCCCCACUGUAUCUGAGACACGGUCGAGACUCCUACGGGAGGCAGCAGUAGGGAAUCUUCCGCAAUGGGCGAAAGCCUGACCGAGCAACGCCGCGUGAGUGAUGAAGGUCUGCCGAUCGUAAGACUCUGUUAUUAGGGAAGAACUAAUGUGUAUUUAACUAUGCACGUCUUGACGGUACCUAAUCAGAAAGCCACGCCUAACUACGUG
rnacentral:rRNA from 1 species